rnacentral:misc_RNA from 1 species
UAACAUUCUAAAUUCAAAUGUUUCAAUUAAUGAUAUACUGUUAAUCCUCAAUAAUCUUCAUGACUGGAAUAUCUGGUGUGCUGGUCAUCUUCUUGGAUUGUUUUGCCCAGCUGCUGCUCAAGUUGCAUUUUUAAGAAGAAAAAAUUAGGUCAUUAAUUAAAUGAAACUAUCGGUUAAUAUAUGUUAUACUUGAAAUCUGAGUUGGUCAAGGUUUUUGCCAGUGUUAAAAUUGUUUAUGGAAUGACUUUCUGCAUACCAUGGGUAUAAUGAAGUUUUGAAAGUUGACAUUUUAUUGCCUGAAUUUGCUAGCAAGUACUAAUAAUGAGUACUUUCAAGAGUCACUUCAGUCUAG